AGUGCAAAGAACUUUGAAGAGAGAGUUCAAGAGGGCGUGAAACCGCUGAGAUGGAAACGGAUAGAGUUGACGAAACUUGGCGGCAUUCAACCGAUUGACUUAGCGGCCUUGCGGUUUUGUGCCUCGAUGAGGGCAAAGACGUGAGCAGCUGCCGAGCUUGUGAUUGGUGUAUUUGUCGUCGGUAUGCGCCGAGAAAUUCAUGGCCGUGUGCUGGCGCUUGUGUAGUGGACUACUCCCUCGUGGAGUGGAACCCUGCGUAGGUUGAGGCAUAUUGGUUACGAAUGUUGUUGGCGUCUUCGCUAUCGCGCAAGAAUUGUUGCCGGUUGACGUGGCCAUUGGGCGGUCGCAUGCGACUUGCUUAUGGUUGGUGUUGGUCGGCGUGCGAUUCGGUUGCGUGGGGACGCAAGUCUCGGUGUGAAAGUUGACCACCUAUCCGACCCGUCUUGAAACACGGACCAAGGAGUCUAGCAUAUGCGCGAGUCGUUGGGUGGAAAACCUAAAGGCGUAAUGAAAGUAAAGACCGUCUCGAUGCGGUUGAUAUGGGAUCCGAGUGGUUUUGGCCGCGCGGCGCACCAUAGCCCCGUCCCCGCUGCUUGCAGUAGGGCGGAGAUAGAGCGCAUACGCUGGGACCCGAAAGAUGGUGAACUAUGCCUGAGCAGGAUGAAGCCAGAGGAAACUCUGGUGGAGGUCCGAAGCGGUUCUGACGUGCAAAUCGAUCGUCUGACUUGGGUAUAGGGGCGAAAGACUAAUCGAACCU
rnacentral:rRNA from 1 species